CUUUGUCAGUGAUCAUCGUCUGUCGUAUUGUCCGGACUUUUACUACUUAAAGACGCCUUCCUUUCUUGUAAUUCUUCGUCCCCUAGACUCUGCACUGACCAACAAAGAAAAUGCAUUUUCACAUUACUUUGUUCAAAUUUAACGUACUUGUAAUUUAAUUGAUCAUAGAAAACAUUUUGCCGUACGCACGAAUGCCUAAAUCUUGAUGGGAACUGUUUGCAUGCAAUGUUGAAAUGCGUUUUCUUUUGGCGUAAUUUUUUUUAUAGUAUGUUAAACAUCCAAUCCAUUCUUACUUACUGAAGACUUUUUGUCAAAAUUUUGAAUCUUGCACUUUGAUGUUGUAUCUCAUACAAGCAUUCUGGCCUACAUCAGGAAAUAGGGUACAGUAAUUGCAUGGCCCCUUUUGAGUCUGCCUUCUGACCUAUACACAUGUAAUGGGAAAGGUAUUGGAACAACUAAUUACAUGGAGGUGAUGUGUCAAUUUGGGACUUGAGUUGUCAGCAGUUGGUUGAAAAGUGCAAAGAAUCACACUUUUUUCUCCAUUCAUCUUUAGAAUCCUGGGUUGGUCACUGUUUAUGGAACAUUCGCGUCUAUUCAGGCCAAAAGUACGACAAAUCUAUCCACAUCGAACAUGGAGUCGAUUACCGUAUUGUACAUAGAAAUGUUUGAAGACGGAAUGGACUAGCUGUAUGUUGGAGUAAUGUUCCAGAAAGCAGCAUUCCAGGGGCAAGAAUCCAAGUUGAAAGGCUGAUCAACACUUUAUAUAUUGUUCAACUUGUUUUCUUUGCCCCUUGGUGAAUUUGAAUUAAAUUGGAAAUUGAAAGUUA